rnacentral:rRNA from 1 species
GAUGAACGCUGGCGGCGUGCCUAAUACAUGCAAGUCGAGCGAACGGACGAGAAGCUUGCUUUUCUGAUGUUAGCGGCGGACGGGUGAGUAACACGUGGAUAACCUACCUAUAAGACUGGGAUAACUUCGGGAAACCGGAGCUAAUACCGGAUAAUAUUUUGAACCGCAUGGUUCAAAAGUGAAAGACGGUCUUGCUGUCACUUAUAGAUGGAUCCGCGCUGCAUUAGCUAGUUGGUAAGGUAACGGCUUACCAAGGCAACGAUGCAUAGCCGACCUGAGAGGGUGAUCGGCCACACUGGAACUGAGACACGGUCCAGACUCCUACGGGAGGCAGCAGUAGGGAAUCGUCCGCAAUGGGCGAAAGCCUGACGGAGCAACGCCGAGUGAGUGAUGAAGGUCUUCGGAUCGUAAAACUCUGUUAUUAGGGAAGAACAUAUGUGUAAGUAACUGUGCACAUCUUGACGGUACCUAAUCAGAAAGCCACGGCUAACUACGUG